UAUUUUUGCCCUGAGCACCAUGACCAGCUCCAUACAGGUACUUUAUUUUUGCCCUGAGCACCAUGACCAGCUCCAUACAGGUACUUUAUUUUUGCCCUGAGCACCAUGACCAGCUCCAUACAGGUACUUUAUUUUUGCCCUGAGCACCAUGACCAGCUCCAUACAGGUACUUUAUUUUUGCCCUGAGCACCAUGACCAGCUCCAUACAGGUACUUUAUUUUUGCCCUGAGCACCAUGACCAGCUCCAUACAGGUACUUUGUGUGGGCCUGUCUUUUCUCUUGCCGGCAUCUGUGUGUCUUUUUGAGGUGGUUGUAUUUCCCCUUUGCGUGGCUCAUGUGCUGUGCGAGUCCGUGAAUUUGUAUUUGGUAAAAGUCUUUGUAUGCGUUUGGGUAUGCGUGCCUGGGGAUGGAAAUAAUGGUGUCACUUGGAAGCCCACAAGUCAAAUUGAGAUGCAAACGAUGUAAUUACAACAUUUGCACUGCCUGAAUUACAUUUUAAAAUUGUAAUUGUAAAUUGAUUUUACACUUCUGUUGGCGACAAUAAGUUCAGUUGAAAAUAACAAACAAGGAAAUUGCAAUUAAGUGUGAAUUUGAAGUCAUGAUCCUGCUUUAUAGAACCGUAUAAUGUGGAUACACUUUUUUAAUGUCUUGUCUAAUAAAAAAAAAA